ACUCCUACGGGAGGCAGCAGUGGGGAAUUUUGGACAAUGGCGAAGCAUGCAUCCAGCAAUGCCGCGUGUGUGAAGAAGGCCUUCGGGUUGUAAAGCACUUUUGUCCGGAAAGAAAUCCUUGGCUCUAAUACAGCCGGGGGAUGACGGUACCGGAAGAAUAAGCACCGGCUAACUACGUGCCAGCAGCCGCGGUAAUACGUAGGGUGCAAGCGUUAAUCGGAAUUACUGGGCGUAAAGCGUGCGCAGGCGGUUUGCUAAGACCGAUGUGAAAUCCCCGGGCUCAACCUGGGAACUGCAUUGGUGACUGGCAGGCUAGAGUAUGGCAGAGGGGGUAGAAUUCCACGUGUAGCAGUGAAAUGCGUAGAGAUGUGGAGGAAUACCGAUGGCGAAGGCAGCCCCUGGGCCAAUACUGACGCUCAUGCACGAAAGCGUGGGGAGCAAACAGGAUUAGAUACCCUGGUAGACAUCA
rnacentral:rRNA from 1 species